rnacentral:rRNA from 1 species
AUUGAACGCUGGCGGAAUGCUUUACACAUGCAAGUCGAACGGCAGCACGGGGGCAACCCUGGUGGCGAGUGGCGAACGGGUGAGUAAUACAUCGGAACGUGCCCGGUCGUGGGGGAUAACGUAGCGAAAGUUACGCUAAUACCGCAUACGAUCUGAGGAUGAAAGCGGGGGACCUUCGGGCCUCGCGCGAUCGGAGCGGCCGAUGUCAGAUUAGGUAGUUGGUGGGGUAAAGGCCUACCAAGCCGACGAUCUGUGGCUGGUCUGAGAGGACGACCAGCCACACUGGGACUGAGACACGGCCCAGACUCCUACGGGAGGCAGCAGUGGGGAAUUUUGGACAAUGGGCGCAAGCCUGAUCCAGCCAUUCCGCGUGCAGGACGAAGGCCUUCGGGUUGUAAACUGCUUUUGUAUGGAACGAAAAGGCUCUGGCUAAUACCUGGGGCUCAUGACGGUACCGUAAGAAUAAGCACCGGCUAACUACGUG